GAUGAACGCUGGCGGCGUGCUUAACACAUGCAAGUCGAACGAAGAUGCCGGAGUGCUUGCACUUUGGCAGACUGAGUGGCGGACGGGUGAGUAACGCGUGGGUAACCUGCCUUAUACAGGGGGAUAACAGUUGGAAACGACUGCUAAUACCGCAUAAGCGCACGGUAUCGCAUGAUACAGUGUGAAAAACUCCGGUGGUAUAAGAUGGACCCGCGUCUGAUUAGCUAGUUGGUGAGGUAACGGCCCACCAAGGCGACGAUCAGUAGCCGGCCUGAGAGGGUGAACGGCCACAUUGGGACUGAGACACGGCCCAAACUCCUACGGGAGGCAGCAGUGGGGAAUAUUGCACAAUGGGGGAAACCCUGAUGCAGCGACGCCGCGUGAGUGAUGAAGUAUUUCGGUAUGUAAAACUCUAUCAGCAGGGAAGAUAAUGACGGUACCUGACUAAGAAGCACCGGCUAAAUACGUGCCAGCAGCCGC
rnacentral:rRNA from 1 species